rnacentral:rRNA from 1 species
UACGUAGGGUGCGAGCGUUAAUCGGAAUUACUGGGCGUAAAGCGUGCGCAGGCGGUUUGGUAAGACAGGCGUGAAAUCCCCGGGCUUAACCUGGGAACUGCGUUUGUGACUGCCAGGCUAGAGUACGGCAGAGGGGGGUGGAAUUCCACGUGUAGCAGUGAAAUGCGUAGAGAUGUGGAGGAACACCAAUGGCGAAGGCAGCCCCCUGGGUCGAUACUGACGCUCAUGCACGAAAGCGUGGGUAGCAAACAGGAUUAGAUACCCUGGUAGUCCACGCCCUAAACGAUGUCAACUAGGUGUUGGGAGGGUAAAACCUUUUAGUACCGUAGCUAACGCGAGAAGUUGACCGCCUGGGGAGUACGGCCGCAAGGUUAAA